GAUGAACGCUGGCGGCGUGCCUAAUACAUGCCAGUCGAGCGAACAGACGAGGAGCUUGCUCCUCUGACGUUAGCGGCGGACGGGUGAGUAACACGUGGAUAACCUACCUAUAAGACUGGGAUAACUUCGGGAAACCGGAGCUAAUACCGGAUAAUAUUUUGAACCGCAUGGUUCAAUAGUGAAAGACGGUUUUGCUGUCACUUAUAGCUGGAUCCGCGCCGCAUUAGCUAGUUGGUAAGGUAACGGCUUACCAAGGCAACGAUGCGUAGCCGACCUGAGAGGGUGAUCGGCCACACUGGAACUGAGACACGGUCCAGACUCCUACGGGAGGCAGCAGUAGGGAAUCUUCCGCAAUGGGCGAAAGCCUGACGGAGCAACGCCGCGUGAGUGAUGAAGGUCUUCGGAUCGUAAAACUCUGUUAUUAGGGAAGAACAAAUGUGUAAGUAACUAUGCACGUCUUGACGGUACCUAAUCAGAAAGCCACGGCUAACUACGUG
rnacentral:rRNA from 1 species